AUAUCAAUAAGCGGAGGAAAAGAAACCAACAGGGAUUGCCUCAGUAACGGCGAGUGAAGCGGCUAACAGCUCAAAUUUGAAAUCUGGCUCUUUUCAGGGUCCGAGUUGUAAUUUGUAGAGGAUGCUUCGGCGUGAGGCUCCGGUCUAAGUUCCUUGGAACAGGACGUCAUAGAGGGUGAGAAUCCCGUACGUGACUGGGUUGCCUUUGCAUCGUGUAAAGCUCUUUCGACGAGUCGAGUUGUUUGGGAAUGCAGCUCUAAAAUGGGAGGUAAAUUUCAUCUAAAGCUAAAUAUCGGCCAGAGACCGAUAGCGCACAAGUAGAGUGAUCGAAAGAUGAAAAGCACUUUGGAAAGAGAGUCUAAACAGUAC
rnacentral:rRNA from 1 species